GAACCACGUGGAGCUGGAGGAGGAGAAGGAGGAGGUCCUGGUUGUGUUCCCUCACUGUGAGACACUGACUGUCCACUCAGCCCUGCAGAAUAUGGCCGUUGAUGGUGUGUUCGCUGCCCCCUCGGCCGGGGCCGCCGCUGCCCCAGUGGAGGUGCAGUUGUACAGCUGUGAAGAGCCAGGGCAGCCCCCCCAGACCCAUCCACUCUGGCAGCUCCAGUCCAACUGAAGGAGAGAGGAGUUCAUGAGUUCUACUCUGCAUUAAAGAAAUGUCGGUGAAGUCACAGCGGGACGUUCACGUUAAACAGUGUCAAAUUCACAUGAAUAUACUGCGCUGUCGUUGGGCUCCCCCUGCCUCACCCCGACGUAAGGACGCCCUGUCAUCUGAGGACACACGGUCCAGCAGUAAGACACGAAGGGAAUCAUUGACUCCAUGUUUUUCAGACUCAGCUUGCUGUUUUUUUGACAUGUCUGUUGCUCAGUUUCUCUCCUCAGACACCGGCAGUGAAAGGCCGUCGCCGCUCGUAUUGGAAACAAAUUUGUCACAUUGAACUUUGACCCACUUCAUCAGCAAACAGUCCUCCCACAGGCUUAGGCUUAACACGGCCGUUCCUAUUGAAUUCUCAAGCAUGUCAAUACAAGGCACCGUGAUGGGUGGAAGGAACCAACCACAGAAACCAGUAUGGGGGAUGGGAACUGGGAGGAUGGGAGGAUGGGGGCGGUGGGGGCGGACUGGUGAACUCAGAGGAGGUUCACUGGGUUCAUGUGAUGCAUAGGAAUGUUACUGGGGGGGAGGCUGGGGGGUUGGGGGGUGGAAGUCUUUUUCUGUUGACCUGGUCUCUUUUGCGUGUGCAACACAAACACAGACCUGGGUUUACCAUUACCAAAGGUUAAACCUUUUACUGUUGGGACAAUAGGGGGAGAUGGUUUACUCACCUGGUGCCGAUGGUCCUCAGUGGACGUGGCUCAUGGUUAAAAUGAGUGUGCAUGUGUAUGUACGUGUGUGUGUGUGUGUGUUUGUCCUACAUACUAUGUGUAUGUUGAGCGAUGGGUUCAGUGGGUUCAUGUGUAUGUUGUAUGUGUAGGGAGGGGGGGGAUGGGCAGCCCAUUCCCCUGACUGCAGCACGCAAGGCGCUUAGAAGCAUCCCCCACUCCUCACGCUUCCUACUGGUAUUUCACAACCACUAACACCAGUAGAACCAGUAUGAGAAUAUCUACGCUGCUAUUCUACACAAAGAAAGAGAGAAAAUCCCAGUAUGUCAGAUAUAAAUGAUGAAGAAGAUGAUGAUGAUGGUGGUGGUGGGGCAGAUGACAUUGAUGAAGAUGAGUGAUCAAUAAAUGCUGGUUAAGCUACACUGCGUGUUUCCAGCCGGGGUCGGUGGGUUCACUGUGUGGUAGUAAAGCUGAGGGAGGGGCUGCUGCUCCUUCUCCUCAGCCAUGAAUCGUGGGCUUGAACAGUGACUUACUGCAUUAUGUUCAAACAUUAAAUCCCAUUUGAUGCUCGUGGUUGUCAAUUAACCGACCGGUGACAAUGACACGGAAUGUUCCAGAACAGAUCAGAAUAUAUUUUCCUCUCCAUUUUUUUUUUUUAAUGUGGUGUUGAUGCAGUUCAGACGUCGUU